UACGGGGGGAGCAAGCGUUGUUCGGAUUUACUGGGCUUAAAGGGCGCGUAGGCGGACCACCAAGUCCGGGGUGAAAUCCUUCGGCUUAACCGGAGAAUUGCCUGGGAUACUGGUGGUCUUGAGGGAGGUAGGGGCACGCGGAACUUCCGGUGGAGCGGUGAAAUGCGUUGAUAUCGGAAGGAACGCCGGUGGCGAAAGCGGCGUGCUGGCCCUCUUCUGACGCUGAGGCGCGAAAGCCAGGGGAGCGAACGGG
rnacentral:rRNA from 1 species